AGUGAACGCUGGCGGUAGGCCUAACACAUGCAAGUCGAACGGCAGCACAGUAAGAGCUUGCUCUUACGGGUGGCGAGUGGCGGACGGGUGAGGAAUACAUCGGAAUCUACUUUUUCGUGGGGGAUAACGUAGGGAAACUUACGCUAAUACCGCAUACGACCUACGGGUGAAAGCAGGGGAUCUUCGGACCUUGCGCGAUUGAAUGAGCCGAUGUCGGAUUAGCUAGUUGGCGGGGUAAAGGCCCACCAAGGCGACGAUCCGUAGCUGGUCUGAGAGGAUGAUCAGCCACACUGGGACUGAGACACGGUCCAGACUCCGACGGGAGGCAGCGGUGGGGAAUAUUGGACGAUGGGCGCAAGCCUGAUCCAGCCAUACCGCGUGGGUGAAGAAGGCCUUCGGGUUGUAAAGCCCUUUUGUUGGGAAAGAAAAGCAGCAGGUUAAUACCCCGCUGUUCUGACGGUACCCAAAGAAUAAGCACCGGCUAACUUCGUG
rnacentral:rRNA from 1 species